AAGUGAAUGCUUUAGUUGUGAAGACACGACCUGCGAGUCUUUCGACACAACUGCUGGCGACAUCCUACACAGCGGACAUCAGUGAGGAGACACUCAUCACGACGAUUUGUGUGAUGUUGAUUCUGACACUCAGCCUUCUUUUCCUCUACACAUCGGAAUGUUACAAAACUUAUGUAACACCGAACAUGACCUGGACCGAGGCCUUUACUCACUGCAGACAGAAAUAUUCUGGGAGACUUGCUACCACCUCGGCUUUAGAGUGGAGAGAAAGAGGAACACAACCUGGUCUGCCACUGAACACCUGGGUGUGGGUUGGGGCAGUGUAUCUAGACAGUCACACGUGGAGCCCCUACGGAGGAAGUAAAACAGAUCUCUUAGAGUAUACUGGAUGCUAUGAAGUGUCCGACUUUC